AUGUUACUCGCUCCGUCCGAAAAAGCUUGUCCCAAGCUUGUCCUCCAAAUGGAUGUAUCUAGCACCAAACUAGUGUUAGAUACAUCCAUUUGAGGGACAAGUUUUUCCGGAUGGAGGGAGUAAUUG
rfam:Triticum urartu cultivar G1812 contig1249491, whole genome shotgun sequence.